UGGAGUCAUCCAUGUAAUAUUCUUCUCCUGUUGAACGCUCAGUCCAGCCAUGCCCAUACCAUUGUGCCAAGGCUUAUUACCUUAUGUUGCUCUUGCUAUCUGUCUGAAGGAGGGAGAGGCCAUUGUAAACCCUUGAUGAUGCUGUCUGUGUGAAGGACAGUCUGGCGACUGUGACUUCAUGGUGCUGCUACUGCCUGCUUUAAGGAGAGAGGCAGUAUGUUGCGACAUUGGGCUGUUGUUGCUCAUUUAAAGGAUGGGAUUGAUCAAAUGGAAGUGCCGCAUGCUGCAAUAUUGAAUGGGCUGUCUGGAGACUCUCCCACCUUGCCUCAAUCUGACCUUAAUGAGAAUGAGCACAUUUCAAUGAAGGAUUCCACAUGA
rnacentral:lncRNA from 1 species